GAGAGAGAGAGAGAAAGAAAGAGAAUAGAAAUGACAGUCAAUUGGUUAACAUAUUUUAUUCCUUUCCUACUAUUUCUUAUUUCAU
rnacentral:ribozyme from 14 species